rnacentral:rRNA from 1 species
GGGUCAGUAGGUUGGUCGUGCCACCGGUACGUACUGGUCUCACUGAUUCCUCCUUCCUGAAGAACCGUAGUGCUAUUAAUUUGGUGUUGCGGGGAAACAGGACUGUUACUUUGAAAAAAUUAGAGUGUUUAAAGCAAGCUAACGCUUGAAUACAUUAGCAUGGAAUAAUGAAAUAGGACGAUCGAUCCUAUUUUGUUGGUUUCUAGGAUUGACGUA